GCGCCAGUAGCUCAGCAGGAUAGAGCACUUCCCUCCUAAGGAAGGGGUCGGGGGUUCGAGUCCCUCCUGGCGCACCA
rnacentral:tRNA from 1 species